rnacentral:rRNA from 1 species
AUUGAACGCUGGCGGCAUGCUUUACACAUGCAAGUCGAACGGUAACAGGGAGCUUGCUCCGCUGACGAGUGGCGAACGGGUGAGUAAUGCGUCGGAGCGUGCCGAGUAGUGGGGGAUAACGCAGCGAAAGUUGUGCUAAUACCGCAUACGUACUGAGGUAGAAAGUGGGGGACCUUCGGGCCUCACGCUAUUCGAGCGGCCGACGUCUGAUUAGCUAGUAGGUGAGGUAAAGGCUCACCUAGGCGACGAUCAGUAGCGGGUCUGAGAGGAUGAUCAGCCACCCUCGGACUGAGACACGGCCCAGACUCCUACGGGAGGCAGCAGUGGGGAAUUUUGGACAAUGGGCGAAAGCCUGAGCCAGCCAUGCCGCGUGUCUGAAGAAGGCCUUCGGGUUGUAAGGGACUUUUGUCGGGGAGGAAAUCCCCAGCGCUAAUACCGCUGGGGGAUGACAGUACCUGAAGAAUAAGCACCGGCUAACUACGUGCCAGCCGCCGCCGUAAAAC